rnacentral:rRNA from 1 species
GGAUCCAGACUUUGAUCCUGGCUCAGGAUGAACGCUAGCUACAGGCUUAACACAUGCAAGUCGAGGGGAAACGACAUUGGAAGCUUGCUUCCGAUGGGCGUCGACCGGCGCACGGGUGAGUAACGCGUAUCCAACCUGCCCAUCACUUGGGGAUAACCUUGCGAAAGUAAGACUAAUACCCAAUGAUACCUCUAGAAGACAUCUGAAGGAGAUUAAAGAUUUAUCGGUGAUGGAUGGGGAUGCGUCUGAUUAGCUUGUUGGCGGGGUAACGGCCCACCAAGGCGACGAUCAGUAGGGGUUCUGAGAGGAAGGUCCCCCACAUUGGAACUGAGACACGGUCCAAACUCCUACGGGAGGCAGCAGUGAGGAAUAUUGGUCAAUGGACGAGAGUCUGAACCAGCCAAGUAGCGUGCAGGAUGACGGCCCUAUGGGUUGUAAACUGCUUU